CCUACGGGAGGCAGCAGUGAGGGAUAUUGGACAAUGGAUGGAAAUCUGAUCCAGCCAUGCCGCGUGCAGGAAGACGGCCCUAUGGGUUGUAAACUGCUUUUAUACGGGAGCAAUAAGGUCUACGCGUAGACUGAUGAGAGUACCGUAUGAAUAAGCAUCGGCUAACUCCGUGCCAGCAGCCGCGGUAAUACGGAGGAUGCGAGCGUUAUCCGGAUUUAUUGGGUUUAAAGGGUGCGUAGGCGGCUUUGUAAGUCAGCGGUGAAAUUUUGCAGCUUAACUGUAACAGUGCCGUUGAUACUGUGAGGCUAGGAUUUGGUUGCUGUGGGUGGAAUGUGUGGUGUAGCGGUGAAAUGCUUAGAGAUCACACAGAAUAUCGAUUGCGAAGGCAGCUCACAAAGCCAAGAUUGACGCUGAGGCACGAAAGUGUGGGGAUCAAACAGGAUUAGAUACCCCAGUAGUCC
rnacentral:rRNA from 2 species